AAGAAAUAAAUUAAGAGCAUUUGGUGGAUGCCUUGGUAUUGGUAGGCGAAGAAGGACGUGAUAGGCUGCGAUAAGCUCCGGGGAAUAGUCAAUAUAUUUUGAUCCGGAGAUGUCCGAAUGGGGAAACCCACCUCUAGGGGUAUCUAUGAACGAAUAAAUAAAUUCAUAGAGGCGAACUCAGCGAACUGAAAUAUCUCAGUAGCUGAAGGAAAGGAAAUCAAUUGAGACUCUCCUAGUAGCGCGAGCGAACGGGGAACAGGCCAGUGUCAUCGAUUUAAUAAUCGGAAUAGAUUGGAAAAUCUAGCCAUAGGGGGUGAUAGCCCCGUACGAAUAAAAAGAGUUGAUGAACUUGAGUAGAACGGGACACGUGAAAUCCUGUUUGAAUAUGGGGGGACCAUCCUCCAAGCCUAAGUACUAACCAAUAACCGAUAGUGAACUAGUACUGUGAAGGAAAGGUAAAAAGAACCCUGACAAAGGGAGUGAAAUAGAAUCUGAAACCGAAUGCUUACAAACAGUCAGAGCGGAUUUAUUCCGUGAUGGCGUACCUUUUGCAUAAUGGGUCAGCGAGUUAAUAUAUAAAGCAAGCUUAAGUCGAUAGACGUAGGCGCAGCGAAAGCGAGUCUGAAUAGGGCGAUUUAGUUUUAUGUAUUAGACCCGAAACCAGAUGAUCUAACCAUGGUCAGGCUGAAGGUGUAGUAAUGUACACUGGAGGGCCGAACCUGUUAACGUUGCAAUGUUAUAGGAUGAACUGUGGUUAGGGGUGA
rnacentral:rRNA from 1 species